UAACCUGCCCAAGAGAUCGGAAUAACACCUGGAAACAGAUGCUAAUACCGGAUAACAACAGAUGAUGCCUAUCAACUGUUUAAAAGAUGGUUCUGCUAUCACUCUUGGAUGGACCUGCGGUGCAUUAGCUAGUUGGUAGGGUAACGGCCUACCAAGGCGAUGAUGCAUAGCCGAGUUGAGAGACUGAUCGGCCACAUUGGGACUGAGACACGGCCCAAACUCCUACGGGAGGCAGCAGUA
rnacentral:rRNA from 1 species